rnacentral:lncRNA from 1 species
CCUCCCUUCGUUGGCAUGUCUGGGGCUCUUUUCCCCUCCUGUUGAGGUAAGAUGGUGUGUCUGGCAGCUGUCCGCUCCACGCGAUUUGUCCAGCCUUUACUGAAUGCCCACAGUGUCCUGGGCCUGGGUGCAGAGUUAGGGGAACAGCUCCUUCAGCAGUGUCAGCACAAACCAGGGCCAAAGUCAAGGAAAACUAGGCAAGAAUACAGGAAAAGAGAGAAAGAAAGAAGGAAAGCACGCCCUUCCACUCCAUACCCUUCAGGCUUGGUUCUCACAGAAGCCUGGCUCUGCAGGAAGGCGACAAUGGAAGUUCUCCAGAGAGAAGGCGUCUCCUUCUAAUCCUGCACCCCGCACCCGAGUUAUCCCCACAAACCAGAACACAUUUACUCCCAGAAGAUGCUGUUUGUUGAAAUGGGGAGCUGGAGGAAGCAGGGCCAACGGGGCAGGAGAGAGGGGCAGGUCUGAAGAAAAUGUAGACAGAAAUGCCUCCAUGGGAAAUACAGCCUCAUGGGGAUCGAGAAAGGAAUUUAUUUCUUCACAAAGCUUACCAAGCAGCCUGGCUGGGAGCCAUUUGGCAGUUUCUCCAGCAGGAAACUUCUGGAGAAGCAACAGGGCCCCCUCCUCAUGCUACAGGACCAGACUGAGGGAGCUCAGUCUCUCAGUUCCUGCCCUGGGUAACCUCACAGACAGGGUGCAUCCUGGAGGUGCACAGGGCAGCUCCCCAGCUGACCCUCCAGUGACUGAGGAGCUUGCCAGGCAAGGUGAAUGGCCUAAACCUGAGCUGUUCAGUUUGGGAUUGCAGGGGCUCACAAUGCCCCCAGAUAAGCAUGCUAUAUGUGGACCACCAGUUUUACCCAAGGAGCUUUUGUGUGUGUGUGUUGGGGGGGAGGGGGUGGUUGGGUGGAUUUCUUUUGAAAUAAACAUGAAUGUUUUAUGGAACAAAAUGUAAAACUUGCAUGAUUUUUUAAUAUUAAAGUGAC